rnacentral:rRNA from 1 species
GAUCGGGAUAACACCUGGAAACAGAUGCUAAUACCGGAUAACAACAGAUGAUGCCUAUCAACUGUUUAAAAGAUGGUUCUGCUAUCACUCUUGGAUGGACCUGCGGUGCAUUAGCUAGUUGGUAGGGUAACGGCCUACCAAGGCGAUGAUGCAUAGCCGAGUUGAGAGACUGAUCGGCCACAUUGGGACUGAGACACGGCCCAAACUCCUACGGGAGGCAGCAGC